GGACAAUGGGUUCUUGAUUCCACCUAUAUUAAUAAACCCCAAAAAUUCAUAUUGAAAUUCCUCAUAAAUUAAAAUAAUACCUUGCACUGCCUUUCGAGCACAAUACCUCGUUCAACACCUUCUUUCUAAGGCGGAACGGACCACCUCUUUGGAUUUAAUUUAUUCAUUUAUGGAUAAGACGGCCUCGUGAUUUUCGCCUCCCUCCCACAAUUUUUCAUGGUACUGCGCUUGAGCAUGGGUUCUGAACGCAGGACACCAGGGGAAUGCAAGUUAUGUCCGGCAAACAAUGCGAACAAUAGGACCCACCUUUGCAUGAAUAAAAGAGCGAGUGUUGAAUUUACCAUUAUGGAAGGGAAUUUGCUGGCACUGCGAAGGCGGCCAGGACAUUCAGAACAUUCAGUACAUUCCCCACCAUGCGAGUGCGUGGGACGAGGCAACUACUUGAUGUGUGCCUCUCUGGGCAAACACUCAACCACUCACGGGCACUUUCACCAUCCACUGGCAAGUGUAUAUGAGAGUGCGUUGACAUACAGUGUGUGCCAAUGUGGCUGUCCCCCAUUUUUUGGAGUGUUCCCCCGCCCAGAAAAGUCCCCGAAACCCCCACGCCCAUGUCAAAAGCAGAGCUGCGUCAGGAACGUCCUGGGUCGGGGUCUUGGGGGUUCGUAAUGAUUGUGGCAAGCCAAAAUAAACUAAACUCGACUUGACUGGAA